UUUACUUAUCAAUUUAAAAUUUUCAAAAUAUGUAUAUACAGUAUACCCUAUGAGUACAAUGGCAGAUGGAAAUAUAGGAGUAUAGGACUAUACAAUUUGACCAAUAAAAGAAACACAUUGAAAUUUGUGCGUAAUUGGUAUGCAACCCACUCUCUUUAGUCUUUAAUUACUUUCCCAAAAUCAAAAUCAUUCUCUCAGUGUCAUUUCAAAUUCUUCUCUUCAUCUUUUUACUUUUGUAAGGCCUUCUCUUAGAACCAACGACUAUUCCCAUCUCCGCCAUGAAAGUAGUAACUUCCGAUCGGAUGAAAUCAACACACAGAAUUUCUGGUUUGAACGGUCUAACCAUGGGUUUUUAACACUUCAAGUUAACCUCAAUAAACCGGAUCGUUUUGUUGAUCGAUUCUCAUUUUAAUUGGUCCGAUCGGUCCGAG
rnacentral:lncRNA from 1 species